UUUGUGAUGCUUAGAGCUAGAAGCAGCUGACUGUGCUCUUGAGAGAUGGGGCGGAAUGGAGAAAAGUAACAGCAGAAAUGUUAGGAAUGGAAGUUAAAGGUUGAGAAUUCAAGAGGACUGCAGAUUCACAGUUCCAGGUUUUCGCUUGUAAUGGCCUACAGCACUACUGCAGGCUUCCUGAUGGAGAAACAAAUUUGUGCCAGCUUGCUGAAUAACCUCCGUAAUGUUCAGCCGAUCAGAACUUCUCCAUCUGUGUGUCCAUCCAUCCAAAGAACCAGAUGCUCUGAAAAACACUUCAUCCACCCCUCCUGAUGCAUCCAUAUCUGAAAUAUGUUGCUACCAUAACUGCAGUUUUCAGCCCUACAAGCAAAGCCAGCUACUGACCUAUCUGGAGCUCUCAAUUGUUUAGUCACCUGCUCAGAGAAAAUGAAAUCACUAACUGGGAGCAUCAAUAAUAAAAACUCAUAGAAAGAAACUAUUUCACCAAGGCCUAAGUCCAGACAAUAAGUGGAUUUCACCAGGAUGGGAAGCUAAGAUAAAUAUUCCGUGAUGCAAGCACUGGAACUUCUGCUUUGGGCAACUAUUUACUGCUGAAACAUCUGCAUAAGCUGAAGUUACUGACUCCCAACUGUUUGUUACCAUUACUCCUCUGCCAAAAAUUGCUACCCCAUAGAACAUGGUGUUGCUCAGCCAGUAGAAUGGAUCACAUAGGCAUUCCCUGCCUCAGCUGUUUCAGUAUAAAGUUAGCUUGUUAAUUUAAAUUCUACUUCUCAUACAUUUUACAGAAUGAAGUAGUAGAAUUUCUGCUGAAGAUUCAGUUCAGUGUUCAAUAUUAAAUACAUUUUGCAAAAUUUUAAGAAUUGAGCACAAAGCCCAUAGGGCUUUUAAGCUCAUCUUGAUGUUUGCCUGAACCUUCCUAUCCUGAAGCAGCCUUAAAAUGUUGGUAUUAUUAGUUUUCAAGUGAUUUGCUUAAUUAGAGCUAACAUAAAUCUUUGUUGCCAGGUAUGAACAGCUGCUGCAGAGAGAAUCAAGAGCAAAACUCAAUGAGAUUCUUAUGGCAGCAGAAAAGAUAUCAGGAGUGGCCACAACACUACACAGCACUGUUCCGCAGCUACUUGUUAAUGCUUUUAUGCUGUGUUGAUAUAAAUAGGCACAUAGAAUCUAACAGAAAUGCUCAAGUAGUAAAUCUGCAAUUCUGUCAGGAGCUUAUUCUCCAUCUUAAACUUGACCUUUCCUCAAAGCUUCCAUCUAGAAACUGCAACAUAAUUGUUUUGUAUCCAGAACUGAUGAAGAAUUUGGAUUCCAGUGCAAAACAGACAUGCAGAUAUGGGGACAUAAGAAUUUUAACUAUAUGCACAGCUUGCACAUCAGUUUUUACAUCUGUCUCAUACUGAUGCGAUAAAUUGACUAAGAAGUCCUGUCAAAAAACUGAGUAGCUAUGAGGAACAGGAUGGAGUUAGAACUGUAUUAUAAUGUCUUCUCCAUUUGGAAACCUUUGGCUAGAGGUGUAAGAUUAGUCCCUAGCAGUUGUAGUCAUCAUCAAGCUUCAAUGCCUUUGCAUCAUGAAACUGUACCCUCUUUUAGAAAUAGCAAUAAUCUCUAGUUCCAAACUGCAUCACAUGAAUACAGCAUUAAAAGUUUGUGAAAGCCUCGUGUUCAGAGUCCAUCUUACAUGAAGUAAGCAGUGCCUUGCUAUCUUGUAAGGCCUAGAUAGCAAUGUGUGAGUUUUGUGGGUGUUUUUUGUUUGUUUGUUUUUUUAAAAUGUAGGAAAGAGAACUAUUGGAUUUAGUCUUAGUUAGAUUCAUUUAUAAAUGCUGACCCUGACAUACAAUCUUCAAUAAAAGCUGUGCUUUU
rnacentral:lncRNA from 1 species